rnacentral:lncRNA from 1 species
AUGGCUGAGGCUUUCUGGACCUGGCAGGCAGCCAUGGCGUCUGGCAGUCAGGACGAUGGGACCGACAGACCAGGCCCAUCACACAUGUUAGCAGCACCUUAUCACAUAGCCACAUCAUCCAGGGAAACACCUAUUCUGACCACCAUGAUACAGGCAGGAUCUAACGGUGAAGGAGGGAGGCAGCAAUCCUUUUACCAGCAUCGACUUCCACCUUUGAUGCCAACACCAUUCGGAGCGGCCAUUGCCCAGGUUCGACCACACCGCAGGACCAUACCUCCACCAUCCCCAGCACUGACUCCACCAUCACCAUUGCCACCAGUACUGACACCACCACCACCACCACCACCACCACCACCUACACCGGCGACAUCAACAUUAGAGGAACCCCAGCAUCCAGAGGAGAACAACGACCCAUGGCAGCAGAUCAACUUGCCUCCAGACCCAGCAGUGAAUCAUCCAGAGAAUGAUGAUGAGGAGGAGCCAUCAUCCAAUCCAACAUCUCCAGCAGAAUCUUCUGAGCUGGCCAACCAGGACCUCAACAGACGGCUGUUUCCCUCACGACGUCAUCACAUUUCUGAGGGAGAUGGUAACCUAAUGGGCAGAUACCUGUCGCGCCCAUGGAAUACCUAUACCACGGCACGUGACUUUGAGGAGGAGAUUGCCUCAAUGUCACGCCACACCUUUUUUCUUACUACUCGGAACCUAUCACAGGAGGGAAGAAGGGCUCUUAAGGCAAUACGGAGCAGAGCGCGACAGCGGAAUAAGAACAUGGAGCUUAGAGCGCGGGCUCAACGUGCCGAAAGAUCACUGGCCACUAUGGAGAACGAAAGGAACCGGGCCAGGAUGGAUGCGGAACGAUACAGGCAAGCUAUUAACUGUAUAUACAACCACUGCUGCAAUUACACAAUCGUGCUCCUUUCUGGAAUAAGUGACAUGCAAGAGGGAAACUUCCAUGGGCCCAACAUACUUCGUGAUGAACAUGUGGAAAUGGAGAGGGCACGAUUGCUCCCAAGGUUAUCAGAACCUUAUCCAUGA